rnacentral:lncRNA from 1 species
GCUAUCUCAUAGCUGUCUAAGAGUGAACUUGCAUCAAACUGCCUGGCUUGGAUUUCUGGGCAACUCACUGAUGAGCUCCGUGACCUUGGCAGAAGCAACCGCGAAUAUCAGUUGAUCAUCAAUGUGCCCUUCCCAAGUGCUCAAGGCAACUUGCUUCCUGAUCUCCAGGCUGAUAC